AGAGUUUGAUCCUGGCUCAGGAUGAACGCUGGCGGCGUGCUUAACACAUGCAAGUCGAACGAACCCUUUCGGGGGUGAGUGGCGGACGGGUGCGUAACACGUAGGUGACCUGCCCUGAAGUGGGGAAUAAUUCCGCGAAAGCGGGACUAAUACCGCAUAUGCUCGCUGGUUCGGUCCGGCGAGUAAAGCCUUUGGGCGCUUUGGGAUGGGCCUGCGGCCGAUUAGCUCGUUGGUGGGGUAACGGCUCACCAAGGCUGUGAUCGGUAGGGGGCGUGAGAGCGUGGCCCCCCACAUUGGCACUGAGACACGGGCCAAACUCCUACGGGAGGCAGCAGUGAGGAAUAUUGCGCAAUGGGCGAAAGCCUGACGCAGCAACGCCGCGUGAGGGACGAAGGCCUUCGGGUCGUAAACCUCUUUUCUGAGGGACGAGCAAGGACGGUACCUCAGGAAUAAGUCUCGGCUAACUACGUGCCAGCAGCCGCGGUAAAACGUAGGAGGCGAGCGUUAUCCGGAUUUACUGGGCGUAAAGCGCACGCAGGCGGCUCGGCAAGUUGGACGUGAAAGCUCCCGGCUUAACUGGGAGAGGCCGUUCGAGACUACCGGGCUUGAGGUUGGGAGAGGGGUGUGGAAUUCCCGGUGUAGUGGUGGAAUGCGUAGAGAUCGGGAGGAACACCUGUGGCGAAAGCGGCACCCUGGCCCACACCUGACGCUGAGGUGCGAAAGCGUGGGGAGUAAACAGGAUUAGAUACCCUGGUAAUCCACGCCGUAAACGAUGUCAACUAGGUGUCGGUAGUGAUACACUAUCGGUGCCGAAGCCAACGCGUUAAGUUGACCGCCUGGGGACUACGGCCGCAAGGCUAAAACUCAAAGGAAUUGACGG
rnacentral:rRNA from 1 species